UUCUUCAUACUAUAUACUCUUCGUACUAGAAACAGUAUAGUAGAUAUAUAUAGGCAUUCACUUCACAUUGGGGAAUUCGUUUGAAUUGAGCAGCUGUAUUUUGAAGAGGAGAAACUCCUAGGGGCAGUGCCUACCGUUUUUGUUCUUCCUGUGACUCUUCAUAUACAGCUAUUUUAAUAAUAAACCUGGUCUGGUACGGGGGAAAAAGUGAAAACUCAUAAGGAAGGGCUAUGGUUUAAUAAUUAACUGUGAAGCUGAGGGCCCGGAACAGCAGCUUGGAUCUCAGCCUGCCACCUAGCCUCUGUGAACCCACUUUCUGGCUGACAACCUCGGGUCAGCACACACUGUCUCCUCGUGCCAGGGAAAAGUUCCUGAGAGGAGUCAGCGCGGGGCUUCGGGAGGUGGCAUCUUGGCUCAGGACGCCCUUUCUGACACUGCUCGGUCUGUCCCACUUUCUCUGCCGCAGUUCGGGGACCCGCUACAUCCGUCUCCCGGAACCGCUCCUUCACCAUGGUGCCGGCUGCUGGGCGCCCUUCUCGGGCUCCGACUACAGAAACCACUGUCGCUGCAGCUUCCCGGGCGCUUCUGGAUUUAGGGCUCAGGGAGCAGCCGCUGUCCCUCGGCCACUGCACAGCACCGCACGUGCCGCUUCCUCUUCUGCCCCAGGGUCUGUCCAGAGAGGCUUCUCACCUGCUGCUGUGCGACCUCCCGCUACACCGCCACCUACUGGAGUGUGCUUAAAAUGCACCAGGGCACGCUAAUCAAAAAAGAAAAAAAUCCCCUUUCUGGGGCAUCCAAGGAGCCACCACCCACUCCAACCAGCCUCACAAAGAGGCAAGUGAAGAAGGUGAAGAGUCUGACCACUCAGCCCCAGGUGAUGACAGCCCAAAGGAAUCCUCUGAGAGAUCGCUUCAUCUUAGUAUUUGAAGGAUCCUUGGACAACAGACUCUACCACAGGCCAAAUCCUUUCUGUGAAAAGCUCAAGAUGGAACAUCAGUAGGUCAUGUCUGACCUGCAGAAUUUCAAGAAUGAGAAUAUGGAGGCCUCACAGAAUCUCAGUGAGCUGACCAAGGAGAAAGUCUUCCUUUGGUACGUGCUCAUCUUGGCAGAGACCCCAACUGUUGUACAAUGUCCAAUUCUCAUUAUCUUUGUCUCUGGACUGCAGGGUCUGCAGAUCUGCUUCUAGAUUUUCUGCUUCUUAGCCAGUAGCAUUAAAGUAGAUUUGGACUAUGCCUCUUUACUCAGUUUUGCUAAGGGUUAGAGAAACUGUUAGCUCCUACAGCACCAUAUUGUCAUACUCAGUAGCCUCUGGAUCAGUGAUUAUCAACAUUCCUAAUGCUGUGCCACUUUAAUACAUUGCUUCAUUGUUUUGAUGACCUCAAACCAUAAAAUUAUUUUGUAGGAACUUCAUA